rnacentral:ncRNA from 2 species
GGUGGAGCGAUUUGUCUGGU